UGCCUACGGGGCGCAGCAGUAGGGAAUCUUCCGCAAUGGGCGAAAGCCUGAUGGAGCAACGCCGCGUGGGUGAAGAAGGUCUUCGGAUCGUAAAACCCUGUUGUUAGAGAAGAAAGUGCGUGAGAGUAACUGUUCACGUUUCGACGGUAUCUAACCAGAAAGCCACGGCUAACUACGUGCCAGCAGCCGCGGUAAUACGUAGGUGGCAAGCGUUAUCCGGAUUUAUUGGGCGUAAAGGGAACGCAGGCGGCCUUUUAAGCCUGCUGUGAAAGCCUCCGGCUUAACCGGAGCAGUGC
rnacentral:rRNA from 1 species